CAGCAGCCGCGGGAAUACGUAGGUGGCAAGCGUUGUCCGGAAUUAUUGGGCGUGAAGCGCGCGCAGGUGGUUUAAUAAGUCUGAUGUGAAAGCCCACGGCCCAACCGUGGAGGGUCAUUGGAAACUGUUAAGCUUGAGUGCAGGAGAGAAAAGUGGAAUUCCUAGUGUAGCGGUGAAAUGCGUAGAGAUUAGGAGGAACACCAGUGGCGAAGGCGGCUUUUUGGCCUGUAACUGACACUGAGGCGCGAAAGCGUGGGGAGCAAACAGGAUUAGAUACCCCCGUAGUCCCUGUCUCUUAUAC
rnacentral:rRNA from 1 species